GCACCCGCAACGUGUGGAGGCCGGAGAGUGGUGACUGUCGCUGCAGCGGGACGACCUUCCCCUGGGGUCCCCGUUCGAGCCGUCCGCACCCCCCCCCCCACCGGGGUGGGAGGCGAAGCCGGGUCAGCGGACCAGAGAGCGGCCCCGCGCGGUUGGGCGCCCACUCCCUUAGCGGACCUGUCUCCCGUCCCGGACAGUGACGCACUCGCGCGACAGCCCCAAGUGCCUCACCCUUCGGGACCGGAGCCCACUGUCCCCGUGGGCGCGCUGGCUCGGCCGCCCGGCGGACACCGGGGAUCCCCGCUGCAGCGCUCAAGCGGUGUCCGCGGGCCGGUGCAAACAGGCCUCGCACGGUCCGCGCUUCAAGUCCUCUCGUUUCUCUCUUAGGACCAAGCCUUCAGCAUGUGAACCUUCGGAAACAUCGACUGUCCCCGCCAGAACAGAUGCCAGUCCCUCUUUGGAAGCUCAGAACAGGUGGUGGUGUGGAGUCAGCUGCUGAGCAUGGCCAUCCAGGAUGCAGGCCCAUUGAGCGUUAGAAUUUCAGCAUAUGAAUGUUCAGGAACGCAGCUCAGUUGAUAAUGCAGAUUCAUUUUUGGUAAAAUGCUGUGAAGCUGCUGCUCUCCUGAGAGAACCACUCGUACUCAAACACUGGAGGCUUCUGCAUAGUCAACACGUCAGGAAUAAUGAGAAGUGGAGAAGGAUGCCAGCGUGAGAGAGACGUAACUAAAGAGUUGAUGAAAAGCCCAUGAUGUGGCUCGGCAGAGAUGCCAGUUUCUCUGUUGGACAACUUGGAGUGUCCUUAUCAGAAGAUUGCAAGGAGCUGGGCCUGGAGGAACAAGAGGUUGGGAGAAAGCUUAUCGCUCAUGAUAAGAAACAACAGUCUGCCCAUGCCCUCCUCAAAACUCCCACAUACACCUUUAUGAGUGCUUGGAUGUCUGCCACUCUGAAGGCAUCCACAGCCAGCCAGAGCCUAGCCAAGAAAAUAGACUUGGUGCUUUCUCUUCAUCUGCUCUUGUCCCCUGCGCUGGCAGAACUAUGUCUUUGAGAAAUGAAAGAGAAAGAGAAUGGAUGUAGAAAGAUUGAACAAGCUCUUCUCCAGUACACCCGUUGGGCAGAGAAAAUGUUUGGUUCCAAUUAUCUUACAGUUUCCUUGCUGAAAACACACAGAAGGUAAAAAACUCACUUUCAGAUGUUAAUGAACAGGCAGGGGAGGCUCCUUCGGCCUAUGGCUAAACUGUUGAAAUCGUUCUUUCAGCAAAAAACUUUAGUUGCUCUUGAGGCACCUGUGUUUAGAAUAAGAAUACAGGAGUAGACUGGAUGAGAUCUACCAACUGCAGAUCAGGUUCAUGAAAACAGCUUGGGUAGCUUCAUCGGCACACACAGAAAGCUGGUCUGACAAGAAAAGAACACCUCCGUUAAAAUUGUGUGCAUAAAUUCCUGAAUGCUUAUCACUGUGAAAACCCGGCAGUGGCAGGGUCCAGUCAGAUGUGUGUUCCUGUCUACUUGGGAGAUCCAGAAAUGCUGAGUUCUUUAGAAAUCUUCCUUUCGGUAAUGGUGAGACUGCUGGGUACAGCAGCAUGUCACACACUCAUUGCUUCCCACCUCUUCAGCCCUGACUGUUGUGACUUGCUGGGUUCUAGACCGUUUGAGGACUGCUGGACUUGUGCUUUUUUUUUUUUUCUUUUGGGAAUCCAGAGUCCUCCAGGUUUGCGCUGUGUGCCUUGAACUCCAGCAGCUGUGUCCUAUCCAUCUUCUUGCUAUGCAGUUUCUGGUGCAAAGAUUUCAUUCUCACAUGUGUUUCUGCUCACAUCCUGCGUGCUUGCCACUUAGCCUGUGAUCUCUCUGGCCCAUCGGAAACUUGAAUUAUACCUGUCUCUGGAAGGUGCUCGAAUGGCUGACUACUGGCCUGCCAAGAUUCUGGACUCUUUUGUACUUUUUUAACUUUCCAAGUUCCAAAUUCUAGAUGCCUUUUCAUGCUUUGCUGUCAUUAAUCGCGGUGUGUUUUUAUUUCUAAAAGCCAUGGGUCAUUAUACAAAAAUCCAAGUGCCAAGUUUUAGAGAGCUUCUUUUGAGUUCCUAGUUAGGAAGUCCCCCUCCCCGAAGACAGUACAAACUCUUGCAACUCUGCUUGGUUUUCCAUCAGAAAUAAUUGAUAAGACUGUAUGACUUUGUUGCAAAAUACAGUGAAACCAAGCUGGAAGUGAACAAGUUUCCUUCUUGUUGGUUGGUUUCCAUAGUGCUAGAUGGUGCUAAGCAAACUGCUAGAGGAGAAAAGGUGACCCCUAUCUUACCAAGUGUGAACCCUAUGAACUAUAACGACCUACCAGAGAAAAGGAACUCACUGGUGCAAUACUGGCACGGCUGCUUUGGGGGUAACCAGCCACUCUCUGCUUGGAUUUGACACUCUCUUUGCAUAAGGGAAUUCAUUCCUGAUACUCACUGCAAACUCAUUUUUGAAGUGGUCACUGGGGUAUUGCUGUGGCAGACCUGACUAUGUUGUUUUUGGGAGAAUUAUGGAAGGACUUUGGAAUUUUGGAUUAGAAAAUUUAUUGAGUGUUGAGAACUUAGUGGGCUGUUUUGUAGAAGCUUAGAAGAUGGGAGUUUUGAGGGCAAUACAGAAGAUGGAGGCCUGGCUUCUGAAGAUUCAGAGGGAAGUUUAAAGACCCUAUUGGAGUCAUUUGUUACUUUGAAUUAAUAUUCUGUGGCUCUGCUUAGUUGGGGCUGAAGAAUCAAUCAGCUGUGAGCUACAAGAUACUACAACUACUAAUGUGAAAUCUUUGCUGAGAUACUCGAAGCUGGUUGGCUAGAGCUGAGAAAUUAAUAGUGAUUAAGAAGAGACCAGUGUCGUUGAGUUGAAAUCUUCUGGGAAGUGUUUCCUGAGAGCAUGUAGGAACUGUGUUCCACAGGCAGCCAAGAUUAUAUACUUCAAGCUGGCAGCUGAACUUGGUAGUGUAAGAGUGGCCCAGGUGGUACUGGUUUUGAAGGUCAUGGAGAACAGCUCAGGCUUGGCAAUGUGAGGGGCCAAGAGAGGACCAUUGUUGAAGUUGCAGCCUCAGUGGCCGUUGAAGGCACAGGAUCGAAGGGAUCAUAGAGAAAUUGAGGCUGGGCACCAUGAGAAGCUAGUGGUGAAAGUGUGGCCCAGUUUCAGCAGAGGUCCCCAGCAUGUAGGACAUGCUAGUUCCAUAGGAUGACCACCAAGAACAGUAGCAGUGGUGGAGUGGAGCCAGCCAGGGCCUAGUAGACAGACUGUGUGCACUGCAGAGGCUGGAGCCAAAGAAGCGACCCAAGCCUCUUGAAGGAACCCAGGAGAUGGUGAGUAAAUUCCCGGUGUUAGACACUGAGUUAUUUACACUUUUGGAGUUUGGUUUGGUUUUGCUUUGAUCGUGACUCUGCCCUGGUUCUUCCCUCUUGAAGUAAGAAAGUAUUUCAUGUAUUUUUGAUUUUACAGGACCCCACAGUUGA